AAGUUAGGGUUAGGGUUAAGGUUUUUAAAAUUAUAAAAUUUACAAUUUAUUAAUGGUCUAUAUGCUAUUUAUAAAUGACUAUUACACAUUAAUAAACUAUCUACUUACCAUUUAUAAAUGGUCUAUUUACCAUUUAUAAGGUAUGGUUAUUGUAAAGUGUUACCGUAAACAAUUUUGAGGGUCGCAAGUUAUUCACACCCUUUAGUUUUAAUGAGAAUAGUGCAAAGACAACGUAUCAAGGGUCAAAAUGGUACAAUGGGAUUGUUUCAUGAAAAAGACAUGCUCAUUUUAAAUUGAGAGUGUGGUUUGGGAUUGUGUUGCUGCAAAAUGCAAGGUCCUGGAUGGCAGCAUAUGUUGCUACAAAACCUGAAUUGUUAGGCAUUCAUGUUGCUUUCAAAGAUGUGUAGGUUUCCAACGUUAGGGUCAUCAUCACAGAUGUGCUGAUAAAAAGUCUGGAGGUCCUUGCACUUGCACUUGGCUUUAUAAGCACUAAGCUUUAUCAGUCUGUCUGAAACGGAUCGAGCUCAGGGGAGUCACUGGCAUUUCUGGUUUGUAGGUAUAAUGGUUUCCUCUUUGCACGGUACAUUUUGAACCUGCUUUUGUGGAUUGUCUGCCCACCAAUCAGCUGACUGACAUGGAUUAAAAUCAGAAGAGGCAUUAAGUAGCAGCUUUACUCACUGUAUCUAGUCCCCAGUCCGCCAGGUAUCAGCCGAAUUACACCACUAAAGAGCUCUGUUUGGCAUUACACACAUCACCCAAACCUUGGAGAGCUCUGUGUGCGUGGGCUCCUGUACAUCAGCAUGCUGCUGUGGUAAGAGAGGAAGCUUUGUCAAAGAAUCUGAAAGCCCUUUGAUAAACGCUGAGGGCCACCACCUUAACUCUCUCUCUCUCGCGCGCACACGCCGUCUCCCAAUCCCCCCCACCCACUUACUCCUAACCUCCUCCUCUCUAGAAAACUGAGUCAGAUGUGAUCAAAGGUACGUUUGAAUUGUUUCUCUGCCUCCAGGUCUUUGGUCAGAGCACUUGUUGUGUUUAAAAUAGAGCAAAAGGUGAAUCCUACCCCAGUAUUGAUCACUUUCAAUCCUACAUCUCUCUGAUAUAGUUUCAUCGUAUAUAAAGCGAAACAACUCCUUUAACUUGCAGUGUUAAAAUGAAACUUCCAGCAUAUAACUUCACACAUAGGAGUGUAACUUAAUAUACACCCAUACACUUGGCUGCAGCGGCACAUACACAAUCACACCUUCACACCAAAGAGAUCUAAUUUGGUAGUCAUCUCAAAUGGAGGCUGCAGAUAACACUAAAAACAACAACUUGUUCAUCAUGGAUAUCAAAAGUGACACACAGUUAGCACUUUAGGAUAUUCUUGGACUCAUUUCAUGCACCAUAAUGCAGCUUCUGUGAGGACCAGCAACUAUUAAUCUGAGCAAAAUUAGUGGUAUAUGAGAGACAGCUAAGUCGCCUUUGGAAAAACUUCCCCCUGCAUCUGUACAAAUGAAUAAAUUAAAGGGAAAUGGAUUUAUUCAUCGCAAUCCUUCACAACUCCAUCCUUGCCAUUUUGGAUUGUUUGCAUAUAUCAGAAGGACAAAAUAUACACAGCAAAACUGCAAAAUUGGUGUACAAUGAAUUUGGCUUCACACAUUUUCAAACAGUUAGAAAACAAAGCAUUCACACUACAGCUGCUGAAUAAUACAUCAGCCUUUUUUUCUGCAGGAAAGUGUUGACAUUAAAUACUGUGUGAUUAUAUAGAAGAACUUAGAGUCAUUACACACAGCACAAUGUUUUUGAGGAACCUCUUGUCAGAUUUUCUCGGUGCUCUCAUCCAUUUUCGUCUUUUAAUAAGCUGUCGACUCAGAGUUUUGUUGUCUGGUAUUACUCAUGCAGCUUCUAACUUUGAGUUUUGUGGCAGUCUGCCUUGGCUGUUGUUUUUAUGUACAUUGUCCAGUUCAUUCAAACUUACUUUAUCACUCUGCUCUCGCUGUGAUACGGCCAUCUUAUCAGCCUUCUGAUAUUCGACAAAAUCUGCAAAUCUCUGAAUUUCCACCAGGAGGAAAUCUCCUCUCGGGUCGGUAAAUCUCGUCAGGUGACCAGUACCUUCAAGUUAUGGUCUUUUUCCAAAUAGUAGUGAGUUAAAGAGAGGGCUUACUCUUUCACAGUUUUACUUGUAUUUUCUGGUUCAAAUGUGAUGAACUGAAUAAAGACGGUGGUUCUCUGUUUGCUUUGGGGCUGGAACUGUAUGAUGGUUUGUUAUUGUGUUGUUUCCUAAAGUAUAAAUAUGAAUAUUUAGAGAUAUCAAGCAGUCAGACACUGAAAUGAAAUGCUCUUCUACUCACUCCUUCCCUCACUGAAGUGAUGGUGGCCUUCGAGGAAAAAAAAAGCUUUUGUGAUGCAUGAUAAAUAUUAUCCCAAGUUUUCUUAGCCUUCAAAAUGUGCACCAAUAGAAAUUGUUUUGCACACAACAACAACCUCUCUCUUCUUUGUUUUCCUAACAGUACUACGAAAGCCAAUGUGUCUGAACAAUCUUUAUAAGGAGAAACGUGCUGCAAACGCAGAAACAAAACUUCAAAAGCACGUUGCAGAAAUCCAAAACAAACAAAAUGGAUGAAAUGCACUGCAAAUGAAAAACAAAAACAAAAAAAGUACUACUAAUACAAAGUGAAAAAACACAUAAACACAUAAAGCAAUUGCAAAAACUGUAAAAUAGCAGUGCUCCAGGCAGGUGGAGCUGGCUAACAAAGUAAAGGUGAGACAUUUUGACUUAGAAGUCGAUGUCUUGUCUUGGUCUGUGCGUGUUUUUGUGUCGCUGACAGACCUGUAAAUCGUGUGUGUCUCUGCGUUUGAAUGUAGAGCAUAAGCAGAACAAACGUAAUGCUUAAACAAAAUGCUUAAAUAAUUCAAAACAUCAGUAUUUUAAUUCAGUUAAACUUUGACUAAGGCUACGUUCACACUGCAGGUUAUGAUGCACAAAUUCAAUUUUAUGUUAAAUCCGAUCUUUUUGUUCAGUCGUUCACAUUACAACAACAACAAAUGCAGCAUCUAAUGUGAGCAGAAUGUGUCUGUGAAGUGACCCGGAUGCGCACAAAGCACAAAUUGCUUUCAGUGCCUGUUUGUGUUGUCGAACAAUGGUGAUGUUUGUCACAUAUUGAUGACGUAUAGGUCGGAUGAACGCGACCUGAUCGUCCACACUGCAGUCACAUCAGAUAUAUAUCCGAUUUAUAUACACAUACAAAUUGAGUAGUAGUCGCUAGAAUUAUUACGACAAUAUAAGAGAAUAAAGAUAGCAUUGAAACGGUCACUUUUUGUGCAAAGUUAGCAUUUGAUGGCCAUUUAUUUCAGUUUAAGUCAACUUUACAUGUCUUCAUUAGCAACUGAACAUUGAAAGUCACCACAGGCAAAGUCAGAGGACAAACUUUGAAGCAUGUGUCCCAGUCGGUUUUACUGGAUGUUUCAUGAGUUUCACAAAAUAUCAUCAGUUAAUCACUGCAACUUUUUUCAGAAGGCUGCCACAGAAUUUAGUAUUUUUGGCUGCAACAAUCUCAGAAAAGCUCAGCAAAGUCCUGGGGAUAGUAAUUCUCUGUGUUUAAGACCUGACAAUUGCACUUGACUUUUUCUAAUUUCCCCAUUUGAAUUCACAGUUAAAGAUCAAGAUGCUGAUCAAAGUGGGUGAUUGCUUUUGGAGAUCUUAUGGGCACCACUUUUGGGAAGUCCUAUAACUUGGUCCACAGGAGGAUCAGUUCUGCUAUCUCGAAAAUAAGCCGGAUGAUAUCAAAAUAUUUUAAUAUAAAAUGAAAUAUCAUUUAAAUAGUUAAAGCAUAGGACAGGACAGAAGCAAGAUAGAGAAGCUGAAUGAGACAACAGGAGGAUGUACCAAAAGUUUUGAAAGAUCAAAAGGGGAUUUUAACGCAUAUUUGUUUUUUUUAAGUGUGGAUGCAACAUCUGAUUUCUGAUGCUGCAUUCACAUAAGAAUCAAAAUGUGAACCCAAGAUUCAUGCUAUCUUCUAGCUUCAAUAAUCUCCAACUUCCUGAUUCUCUGACCUCACACCUGUAAACACCGUCUUUCCAGCAGGAUUUAGUCACAGUGAAUUCAAGAAGUCUAUCUCUGAGACAGUCGAGGCUUGUCCUGCCAGCUUUCUAAAACCACUGAAUCUCUUCAACCGUUUGCAUUUGUGUCCCAAAGCACAUGAGCAUCCAAGCUGUGUGCUUAUCUCUCCUUCUCCCCGGUUUCUCCUCCUCGUCCUCUCUUCCCACAUAGGCUUCUCUGUGCAGGACUAUCAACUGUCCUGGGACCCCUCCCUCUCCCCACUCCAGAUGUUUUGGAUCCAGAUAUUUGCCCUCAAAGAGAUUCAGCCUCCUCUCUCGUGUCUUCUUGUGUGCUCAUCGUCCUUGCCUCUCUCUCAUACUCUGUUUGCUCCCACUAUACCUGUGUGAAUGCUUGCAGAUAGUGGAUGCUAUAUCAGAGAGACAAUCAUAGUCAAGGAAAGUCCCAAAAAGUUAUUAAUUCAAUGCACGAGCCCGCUGGUAGAUUUAUUUAAUAUCUGUGAAAGCCUGCUUGAAUCAGUCAUUGACAAAAGGGAAGGUCAUAGCAGUAACAGUGUUGAACUGUGCCUGACAUCAGAUGCUGAGAAGUGAAGAGCGGCAAAGGCUUUCAUACAUCUUUUCAAGAGGUAAAUAAAAGACUGUUUUAAUCAAAAAAUGGAAGUGAGAAUUAUUUCAACCAAAACUUGGGUGUACUGCAGAUGAGGGCGGAUAAAGUACUUCAGUAAAGUAAUAACAUUUGAUUGAUAUAAUGCCGCACUCAACGUUUUCAAGUAUAUGGAUUUCACAGAUUUGAUUCAAACUCAACAUUUAGUGACUUGGAUACAGUAAUUAAAGGCUAAUAGUCAAACAUGACUUGGAUCAUCAUGGAUGCCAAGAAAUCGGGCAAAGUUAAAAAGAUGUUUGGUGGCUAGUGCUGUGGCUAGGACCCUAUAUGUACUGUUGAUGAAGUUAGGUGCUGUUCUGAACAUUAUUUGUGACUACAGAGUGGCGUUUUGGUUGAGGUUUGUUUAUGGCUCCUCAGACUGCUGUGUAUUGCUAUCGUGCGGUCAUGACUAAAGUUGGUAUAACUAGAGAAGCAAGUGGAAUAUCCCUUUAACACUGGGCAACUUUGAGCAACAUAUGCUGACCUCCAGGUAAUACUUAUUCUGGAAGGACCUUACAUAAUACUGCAAGAAGAUGUCAUAAUACAUUUUACAGAUAUCGCAAUGGCAAACUCAAACUCCAAAAAAUGGUCACCUGGGUUUCUAAACAUUUGCACUGUUGCUGGUAUCAAGUUUAUUUUUUGCAAAUCAAUCAAAUUUUUCAGUUUCAACUGUUAAUAUUUUGGACUUCACACACUUUUUGUCAUAAUAUGUUUUGGUACGUUAGUUCUGUCCUCGUGUUGUUUAUUUGAGUGCUUUUUCUGUGUAUUUUCCCUAGUGUUUCUGUUCCCUAUUGCUCCUGUUCCCCUGUAGUCCUGUCUUGUGAGUUUUCAGUUUGUGUCUGACUCUGUUUCCCUCAUGUUUUCAGUAUUUCAUUCUGUCGAUCAGUUUUCAGUUUUUCCUGUUUUAUUUUGUAGUAGCCCACCCUUGUGUGUAUAGUUUUGUUUUACUUCCUCAGUUUUCUUUCCCAAGUGUCUCACCUGCCUCUCGUUGAUCGUUUCCCUGUGUGUAUAUAUAGUCCCUGUUUUCCCCUGUUUCUUUGUUGGUUCAUUGUGUGUUUUUCAGUGUGUGCAUAUGCCUGUGUCCCUGGUUGCUCUCUGUGAUUUUGCCUCUAGUGAUUUUAUGUGGAUUUUGCCUUUUGGAUUUCGUCUUUUUGUUCCUUUUUUAUUUCGUUCUUUUAAAAUAAAUCAUUUUUUAUUCUGCAUUUUGGGCCCUUUCCCUUUUUGUUGAACUCAGGAGCAGGAAACUUUUAAAAGUCUAGAACUUUUAAUUAUAUUCAAACCAUCAAAAUCUGUUUUUGUGACCAUAGUAUACAACAUCCCAACUCUUACGGAAUCAAGGUUGUACAAGCUGAAAAACAAAAAAUAAAUAAAAAAUAAAAACAUUUUAAAUUGUUGGAAAACAUUAGAUGUUUCUUUGAAUCAUAUCAAAUCUGUAAAAAAAAAGAAUUAAGCGGGGCAUCCUGGAUCUAAAAAGGUGUUAGUUUGAGAUGUUCUUUGGAUGGUGAUUCAUGCAGUUACACAAAAACAAGAAAAGGUCUGAGGCACUCAAAGAUUACAGUUUCUUAGCACCUAUUUGACUUCCUCAUGGUUGAAAUGCAUUAUAGUUUGUUUUUAAUGUCUACAUGACCAUGCUAUGGCAAUAAAGCCCUUGGAUCGAUUCCCUGUUUGUCUUUCAACAGUCAUUCUGAAACACUUGCUCAUUUUAACCAGCUUGAGGACAGUUUUUGCUGGUAUUGACAACAAGAAAUAUGAUCAUGCACAAGGCCUCCAAGCUCCGCUCAGGGAGAAUAUUUUGCCUCACAUAAGAAGCCCUGAUCAGGUUUGAUGUAUAAGUGGAAGGUCAUCCUCUGAUAACCUCAGAAGAUUGCUUCUCUUGAUCUGACUAAGUGUGGAGGAUGGCACUCUGAUCACAGCCGUCUUCUGAAACCCGGUGAAGGCUGUUGAUCAAAUGUAGUGUGGAGUGUGUUUUUUAUCCAUACUCUGGAAGUUUUCUGGGAAAAAUCAAAAUCUAAAGAUGUAGCAGGGUUUAAAACAAGGGAAUAUAACCACUUAACUCUAUCUUUUUUGUAGCAGAUUCAAGAACCACAUCAAGAAUUUGUUGGAUUUGGACCAGAAGUGUACAGCAUUAGUCGGUUUUCCGUAGACCACUUGUUAUUAGCCCCUCUAACAGAAUUAUUUGGAUCAUCUUCAAAUCUGUCAGAUUAUACUUUUAUCAGUGCAAAUUGGUGUUAGCAAAGCAAUUAAAUUUUGACAGACUUCAAAAUUGGGAUUGAAGAUGAUUUUGGCAUAACAAAUACAGGGAGCUUUUGGCAGUAUCAACACUUGACUUGAGGUUGUUUUAAGUUAAAGGCAAACUAUAACACUAAACAAAAGCAUUAGCUGCGUAAUUUUUUAAUAAAGUUUAGGAAAAACUUUUGGUCAUUAGUGAAUGUUGGUAAAAAUUAGUGUGGGAUCUCAAUUACGACACAGAUUAUAGGAUAACAAAGAGGCUGAAUCCAGGUGCGCAGUAACUGAUACAGUGGGUAAAUGAAUCCUCUACAGAAUUAUACACAGGUGCUGAAAUACACUUGUAAUGAAUGCACAAUACUGGAGGUGCAUGUUUGAAGCAGGUUUGUUUUUUUGUCCUCUUUUCUUAUAAACACAGUCGGAAUUAUUGGAGAGUGGAUACAUGAACCAUUGCCAGAAUCUCCCCAGUUGUGCUCACUUGGAAACGGAUCUCUGCAACUACCAAAACUGAAAAUUUCUAACUUGCGUUGGCAGGUUUUUGUUGGCGCUUCAAGGACUCUUCUCUGCCAUUUGAAAAGCCAGAGACAGCCGGUUUUUGCUGAAAGGUUAAAUUUUCAGAAAAAAAUUCUGCUUCUCUUGAAACUUUAACCAAAAGAUUGAAUAACCUCCCUGGCUGCUCAGAAUAUUUAGUCGAGUUUUUUAUCUUCAUAGGGAUGGAAAAUAUCAGAAAUCUCUGAUAUGUUUGCCUUGUUGAAAGUUGUUGUGAUUAAUAUGUUUUCUGUUACUGCAUUAUGAUUUUCAUCUAUCAGAAAACUCUGAAAUCUUAAAGCCUGUAUUGCAAACAGCUCAUUAAAAAAAACCCCAAAGUAAGCUGUAGGGACAGAACAAUCCUCCAUGGAGCAGAAAUGGAGCAAGCUAUUUAUUUGAAGCUUACAUGAGGCUUCAGCUGGAAAACUUCCAGAUAAAUAUCCACUUAUAUUACAUUUUCUGUCUAUAACCAUACACUAAGCUGCUUUCCUGGCAAACACAAAAAGAAACUUGUAUACUCAAAAGGCUUUUAUGUUGGAAGAUGAAGUUGAUUUGUCUAACUCGGUCUGCUAAAGCUUCUUUUGAGUGAAGUUCAGAACAAGAUGAGGAUGGUGGAUUUUGUCUCUUAUUAGAGCAAUAAUGAGGGGCCUUUGAUAUAAACAGGAGAAACAAUCACAGCAGGAGAGAUUAUUUUCACUCGGGUAUUUGACCACAUGGGUGUUUCUCGGGGUGGCAAGGAGCGCCAGCUCUCAUCUGACAGGCUGCAUCAUGAGCUAUGGUGGAUCUGCAAUUGGGGCUUCAUGACUUCAGAUUUUCACCUCAGGAUUAUUGAGGCCGUUUAUAGAAAAUUUAAAAAUAACCGAUUUAUCAUCAGCCCUGUAAACAAAACUUCUUCAGAGAAGACAUUACCUCAUUAAACGGUUGUAUGUUACAAUUCUAUUUUUAUACUUUUGUGUCUCAGGUUUUCUUUUUCCUUAUUUUGUGUAUGCUACUACCACUACAUAAGUAACAAAACAUAUUCAAAACAAUUGAAGGGCUGCUUCAGUUAGCUUGCUAGCAUUUCUUCAUUUAUUCUCUGUUACAUAAUGUGAAACCAGUGUAAAAGACCACUGCUAUGUGCCACGGUAUUACCAUGUGCUUAUUUAAAGACCCACUUCAAUAAAAAAAACGUGUUUUUCUUGUUGUCUACAUGUUCAUAUGGCAUUUUUCUGAUACUAGAGGACAUAUCUUGAGGGAAAAAAGCGAGAAAUUGCAUUUUUGAGUAUUUCUGCAUUCAUACCACUGUGAAUCUCUGGCAGACCCAAAAGGCAGGAUCAUAUAGUGAGAUUUCAUAUGUAACCAAUUCAAGCUACGCCCCUGGAGCCCUGCUAUGCAAGCCAGGCUCGGAGAAAUAGAGAGGAUGAUCACGGAACAAACGUGUGCAUUAACGGAUUGAAAUGCUCGUAAGAAAGCUGAUCAUGAUAUUAGCUUUCAUCAUGCCCCUAAGGAUAUUUGUGUCCGAGAGCUGAUAGCUACACCGGCAAUGUUAGGCUGCAAGCUAACUCGAGGAGAAGUGUGCAGAGCAGCGCUCUCUCCGCCCACGACUCAGAGGCGAAUUGUUACUGACCUACUCGAAUUCUGCAGGAGAAAAGCCCUUGAAAAUGACACAGGUUAUGUGAAUUUAGCUAAAAACUUCAUAAUCACAGUUUAAAGACCACUAAUAACACUUUAAGUAGUAAAAAAAAAACAAAAAAACAACUGAGGUGGGACUUCAAGCACAACAUUAAUAUUUAUUUUCUUUAUAAAGAUGGUAGUAUGGGUGGCAGGAGACAGAUUUCCAUGCUAAAACAGCUGUAAGUAUGCCGUAAGUACGAGGGUUGAAGGGCUAGUAAGCAGCGCAGCAGUCAAUUUGAUACAGGCCCAACACCAAA